CUUCCAUUUCCUUCCUCUUGUUCUUUCUUGCCCUGGCCAUGGUUGCUUCUGCUUCUGUUCGCUAUGUGCGGCGCCGUCGGGGUCGUCCUCCUGGGAUUCGGGCCUCCGUUAAUGCAUGUGUUCGUCGUACUGGCGAGCCUGUUCCUCCUGCUGAUUCAUCGUCAGUGACACCAGCCGUUGCUAUGUGUCGUCAGUCCGCUGGAGUUCAUUCAGGGAGGCGUUCCCGCUCCGCAGCGGCUCGCCAGCCGCUCUGUUCUCGCCGGCCUGGUGUACAGUGUUCUGACUCCGAAUAGUUUCUCCAUGGAGAUUUCCAUAGCCGUCGCCGGGAGAUUUCGUUAGGGAAGCGGCCUGUUGACUCUACUGUUGAUUCUGUUAUUAGUUGUGCUCCUUCCUUCGUGGGUCAUGGCUUUCCAUAUGUUGUUCGUCCUGCCGGUGUGCCACCUAGUACUUUAUGUUGUUCUUUUUCUUUUAAUCCAGUCCGCUUAGUUGUUCGCCUUCCUCUCUCUUCUGCUAUUCAUUUUCUUCAUUGUAAGAUGCGGCGGUUUUGUUUGGCCUCUGUUGCUCUCCUGCUGGUUGGCCUCGAAGAUCACUGUUCUCAGCCGAAGCUGUUCGGCCAUGUGAGUUUUUGUUGUUUUUUGAUGUGGUAUGUGAGGGAGUCCUGGAUUAGGGGGUAUUCGGACAGCCGAACUAUAUACAUCGUCCGGACUAUCGAAGCGUGAAGAUACAAGACUCAAGACUUCGGCCCGUGUCCGGAUGGGACUCUCCUUUGCGUGGACGACAAGCUUGGCGAUCCGGAUAUUAUGUUUCCUUCCUUGUAACCGACUCCAUGUAA